UAGGGAAUCUUCGGCAAUGGACGGAAGUCUGACCGAGCAACGCCGCGUGAGUGAAGAAGGUUUUCGGAUCGUAAAGCUCUGUUGUUAGAGAAGAACGUUGGUAGGAGUGGAAAAUCUACCAAGUGACGGUAACUAACCAGAAAGGGACGGCUAACUACGUGCCAGCAGCCGCGGUAAUACGUAGGUCCCGAGCGUUGUCCGGAUUUAUUGGGCGUAAAGCGAGCGCAGGCGGUUCUUUAAGUCUGAAGUUAAAGGCAGUGGCUUAACCAUUGUACGCAUUGGAAACCUGAUGACUUGAGUGCAGAAGGGGAGAGUGGAAUUCCAUGUGUAGCGGUGAAAUGCGUAGAUAUAUGGAGGAACACCGGUGGCGAAAGCGUCUCUCUGGUCUGUAACUGACGCUGAGGCUCGAAAGCGUGGGGAGCAAACAGG
rnacentral:rRNA from 1 species